rnacentral:other from 1 species
GAGUUCCUGAGAUGCUCGCUAAGCUUCUCUUUUUAACCCACAGAGAUAAUAUGGGAAUUCGGAGUUUAGCUACGUAUGACAAGUCUCUAUGAAAAAUAGAGAAAGUCAGAAAUAGCUAACAGGAUACCCACCUGCCAAGAGGCGGGUAAAAAAGGUAGCAUAACGACAUCAUGGGAACCAA